rnacentral:rRNA from 1 species
AACGAACGCUGGCGGCAUGCCUAACACAUGCAAGUCGAACGAGACCUUCGGGUCUAGUGGCGCACGGGUGCGUAACGCGUGGGAACCUGCCCUUAGGUUCGGAAUAACUCCCCGAAAGGGGUGCUAAUACCGGAUAAUGUCUUCGGACCAAAGAUUUAUCGCCUUUGGAUGGGCCCGCGUUGGAUUAGCUAGUUGGUAGGGUAAAAGCCUACCAAGGCGACGAUCCAUAGCUGGUCUGAGAGGAUGAUCAGCCACACUGGGACUGAGACACGGCCCAGACUCCUACGGGAAGCAGCAGUGGGGAAUAUUGGACAAUGGGCGAAAGCCUGAUCCAGCAAUGCCGCGUGAGUGAUGAAGGCCUUAGGGUUGUAAAGCUCUUUUACCCGGGAUGAUAAUGACAGGACCGGGAGAAUAAGCCCCGGCUAACUCCGUG